UGGGAAGUCGGCGCGGGCGGCAGCCUCGCCAACCCGGUCAGGGGCGAAAGCCAGCAGCCGUAACGAGUUUUUCCGGGUCGUGUCCGGCUUCCUUCGU
rnacentral:SRP_RNA from 1 species